UCGAGCGGCAUCGAGUGAGCGCAGUUUACUGAGUUCAUGUCGGCGAGCGGCGGACGGGUGAGUAAAGUCUGGGAAUCUGGCCGAAGGAGGGGGAUAACUGCUGGAAACGGCAGCUAAUACCGCAUGAAGUCGCGAGACCAAAGUGGGGGACCUUCGGGCCUCACGCCUUCGGAUGAGCCCAGAUGAGAUUAGCUGGUAGGUAAGGUAAAGGCUUACCUAGGCGACGAUCUCUAGCGGGUCUGAGAGGAUAGCCCGCCACACUGGAACUGAGACACGGUCCAGACUCCUACGGGAGGCAGCAGUGGGGAAUAUUGCACAAUGGGCGAAAGCCUGAUGCAGCCAUGCCACGUGUGUGAAGAAGGCCUUCGGGUUGUAAAGCACUUUCAGCGAGGAGGAAGCGAUAAAUGCCAAUACCAUUUA
rnacentral:rRNA from 1 species